GCUACCAUACCGCAUCCCAUCAAUACCACACCUCAUCAUUGUGUUGUACUUGUGAGAACCCUAAUUGAUUACAAUUCCCUAAUUGAUAACACACUCAAUAGACCCCGGAGGCCUCCUGAAGUGCUCGUUGGAAUGGAUCUGAUUGACGAACAGCAUCCGAAAGUCGGUUCCAGAAGGUUUCACUCCCACUUUCUGCAGCAGCUGGCCAGGUGAAUAUGGAAAACAAAGAAACAGAUGACGCGGGUUUUUUUCUGGACUAGACUCGACAAAGAACACACGUCGGGCGUCAUUGUCUCCCGUUGACCCAAGAUGGGACCGGCUCGUUGCAGAGAAAUAAGCUCAGGGCUCCCACUAACUCGGCGUAAUGGUCUCAGAGUCACACGAUCACUGAGCUGAUGGAAUAAUCUGGAUGGGUCUGAUGAACAGGAUUGCAAGCAGGUGUUGGAGAUGAGCCCAGGGGGCCGGUUGAUGGAAGCCGAGCGCGCACACACACACACACACACACACACACACACACACACACACUAGGGAAAUGGCAGAGCCGUGACAUGUGCAUAUGACCAUAUAUUGGGGGUCAAUAAGAAAUGUUUUGUCGUUUUGGUAUAAAAACAUGCAUUCUAAUCAUCAGCUUAACAAAGAAUUACUGAAAUGUGUGUGAAUACAGACAAGUACUGUAAUGCUGAUGAUGAGCAUCACAUUUCACACCAGUCUGUUUCAAUAUUGUCUCUCUCUGUUCUCCAAAAGUAAGCAGAUCAUUUACUCAUUUAGUCUGCUCAAGAAGUUAAAUCAGACUUUGUAUCGUGUUUGCUACGAUAAUUGCACCACUGUUUCUUACAGCUGAACCUUGUAUUCCAACAGGUGAAGAAAGCUCCAGUCAGUGGGGUACUCUUUUUGGUGGUUUCCCUGAUUUACCUGCACAGAUGUGUGCUUUGUAAAUGAAACUCAAACAUUACAUCAGUUCCUCUGGCCAAUAUUCCGCAUGGCGAAAGAGCAGAAAGCUCAAAUGCUUCAGCAAAAACCGAGCAUCUCUUUCAUCUUCCUCCCUUUGCUCGGUCCUUGAAGUGAAGAUGGUGGACUCUUUUUUUUUUUGGAGAGCCCCGAAGGCAGCCGGGCUUUUGUCUUUGAUGUUAUUCUCUCUCUCAUAUCUGAGAGACCUCAAGCUCAGAAAAAAAUGGCUGCAGUGUUGACAGAUGAGAUGCAUGAAAAGAAAAAAGUCAAGAGUCCUGUCAACAGUAAAGACUGCAUUAAAUAGAUUGGAUUUUAAAUGAAAUCUCGACUGGAGAAUUAGUGACCUAAAAUGUAUCCUAAAAUGUGACUGUGGUUCAGUCAGGUGGUCUUCCUUGUGCAAAACUAUGGAAAUAUUGGAUUUAAACACACACACAAAAAAAGAAAAUCAAUAAAAAUUCCAAAAACAAAUCCGCAAACGGCUGGAUAAUAGGUACAAUUCUGGCCUCAGCUCUAAGGCUUAUGUAGGGAACACUAUGUCACCCAAUUAGGAGGAAAUGUACAGAGUGCCUAUAGAAAUGAGCAAUACUGCUUUUGUCCCAAAGGGCCCCCACAAUCAAUACAAAAUGGAUAACACAUUUCACCACAAAGCAUAAAACGGUGUACAUGAGAUGGCAGCACAAUGUUAUAUUACCACCAGCAAUUGUAGGCAAGUCCCCACAAUCUAGGAAAGAUGUGUUGGUCCCCACAAUGACAUUAAUCAAAAGUACACACACACACACACACACACAGACCCACUUUUCCUAUUCAUCACAAUUUUUUUUCGAUUCCUCUGUGAAUUCAUAACCACACACAGCUGAUCCAUCCUGUCUUCCAUUCAGCUAAAAUCCCCCGAGACACCAGCAGUCUUACAGUUGAUCCCUCAUCUUAGCACUGACUUCUCUGCUCAGUGUGCGUGUGUGUGUGUGUGUGUGGUACUGCAGUGGCUUUGAAGUGCAGCUGCAUGUGCAAAAUGUAUGCGAUCCACUGCUGUCCGAAAUGAAUAUGAAUAUUUUUUGUAAGCAGUGUUUGUGUGUAAAUUCUUAUUGUCCGCAGUCUCUUGCCUCUGAUAAUGAACCGCUUUGUUCUCGCCGUUUUGUCGCCGCUCAUCCAUCAGCCGUGUCUCUCUGCUCUGCUCCCAGCAAUUCAUCAUCAUGAAGAAAUCCUCUCUGAUAAUUCAUAUUGGGUGUCGUUUCCAUCAAAUAACACAGACAGUGCUUUGCGUAUUGAUUCGUCUGCAUUUACACAACAGACAUCACACUCUUUGAGUGUUCCUUGAGACCUAAUCCCACAUUUUGCGAACGUGUUCAAUAAUUUGUGAGCCAGUUUCUUGUUGAUCUCACGAGAUUAGUGGCCAAUUAAAACUAGCAUCUACAUAUUUGUACUGUACGUGGUUGAGGAUCAAGUAAAGAUUACCUUUUCAAGCCUUAUUUUCCCCACACCUUUCCCAUAUGAUACAGUGGUAUAAAUCUGAGAAGGAAAUUAAAUAAGAGACACAUCCCAUAAUGCUUGAUGUGUAGUAUGAAGUCAUUUCUCAGUCCCAUUUUAUCUCAGUCUCUCUCACAUUUGGUGAAAGUAGAGUGACAGACAUUUUUUCAAAAAAGAAAAACAUAACAAAAUUUGGUUUUAGACAUUUAUUACAUGUAUCUACUAUUUUAUUCAUAUAUUCCACCACUUUUGUGAACCUAAGGCUUUGGUAAACCAAGUUCCAUCAUCAAAAACAGUUCACAUGAGUAAAGGCAUGUUUUCACAAGAGAUUUAAAGAAUUUUAAUGAAUCAGACUUUAACUUUUCAGCUUUAGGGCCAAAUUACCCCAGAGUUAAACCUGCUAUGUAGGACACGGUCCUGGUCUAUUGGUGUAAUAACAACCAUUAUUACACAAUGAAGUCAAGAAACUAAACAAAUCUGCACAUUAUUAGUUAUUAGUCAGACACAAACUGACACACACACUGACAAACAAACUGACACUGACAAACAAACUGACACACACACACACACACACACACACACACACUGAACAAACCGGAGAUAGAUUUGACCCCGUUCCAUCUCUCCCUCUCUCUUCAGCGUUGGGACUCCACGGGUUGGGAGUGAUUGCAGGUCGCAAGAAUGUGUGUCCUUCAGUAGUUAUUUUAACACAAACCUCCAUUUUUUUCCUGUGAAGACGGAAGUUUAUUUUUUGAAAAGACCGUAUUCUUGUAACUAACAGAAACUGACUCGUGUUGCUUUCGUAGGAAACUUUUCGUAAGAUGUCAUACGAACCGUUUCGGUUGAACGCAGCACGAGGCUCUCCAGGAGACGAGACUUUGACCUUUUGACCUACAGUUUGUACUGUCGCCAUCAGCAGUUGUUCCCUCAGAACCUUGUUGGUCACCAACUGACUCAUGACAGCAGCAGGAAUUUACUCUCCAGCACUCUAAAGGUGCUGCCAGCACUGAGUGGCUCAAACCGUCACCCUCCCCAUGUUUGGCGACCAUAGUGCUUCCACACGCUGAUGGUUCAGUGAUUGAAGGGUAACGACGCAGCAGGAACAUCCAUAAGAGGCCUUUAACUGCUUCUGGAGAACAGCGUCGGGAUUGGCCGUCCUCCAUUCUGCUGGUUAAUCAGACGGCGGUUUGGCCCCAAAGAUCACCCCGGCUCAUCAACAGAUCUAUCGAUCAUCUGAUCGGAGGAGAGCUCCUCACCUGGAUCUGGUCUUUGUCAACGUUGAAAGGAGAAAUAAAGUUUGCCGUCUUGGUUCAAACUACGGAGCCUCCGUGUACACUAAACAUACAUUUUGAACAUGCCCGUUUACUACAAACGUGAUCUGUUGAUGCUUUUUAUUCGUGCUCUGAAACAUUGACACACUCUAUUAACAUUACAUUUGAAAUAAGAAAAAGCCCUUUUUUAAGCUUAUUCUCAGAUGUUUGAACUUUCUUCUUUUGAGACAUAAAAUGC